ACGCUGGCGGCGUGCCUAAUACAUGCAAGUCGAGCGGACAGAUGGGAGCUUGCUCCCUGAUGUUAGCGGCGGACGGGUGAGUAACACGUGGGUAACCUGCCUGUAAGACUGGGAUAACUCCGGGAAACCGGGGCUAAUACCGGAUGGUUGUUUGAACCGCAUGGUUCAAACAUAAAAGGUGGCUUCGGCUACCACUUACAGAUGGACCCGCGGCGCAUUAGCUAGUUGGUGAGGUAACGGCUCACCAAGGCAACGAUGCGUAGCCGACCUGAGAGGGUGAUCGGCCACACUGGGACUGAGACACGGCCCAGACUCCUACGGGAGGCAGCAGUAGGGAAUCUUCCGCAAUGGACGAAAGUCUGACGGAGCAACGCCGCGUGAGUGAUGAAGGUUUUCGGAUCGUAAAGCUCUGUUGUUAGGGAAGAACAAGUACCGUUCGAAUAGGGCGGUACCUUGACGGUACCUAACCAGAAAGCCACGGCUAACUACGUGCCAGCAGCCGCGGUAAUACGUAGGUGGCAAGCGUUGUCCGGAAUUAUUGGGCGUAAAGGGCUCGCAGGCGGUUUCUUAAGUCUGAUGUGAAAGCCCCCGGCUCAACCGGGGAGGGUCAUUGGAAACUGGGGAACUUGAG
rnacentral:rRNA from 1 species